rnacentral:rRNA from 1 species
AGAGUUUGAUCAUGGCUCAGAUUGAACGCUGGCGGCAGGCUUAACACAUGCAAGUCGAGCGGAGCGAAUGUGCUUGCACCUUAGCUUAGCGGCGGACGGGUGAGUAAUGCUUAGGAAUCUGCCUAUUAGUGGGGGACAACGUUUCGAAAGGAACGCUAAUACCGCAUACGUCCUACGGGAGAAAGCAGGGGAUCUUCGGACCUUGUGCUAAUAGAUGAGCCUAAGUCGGAUUAGCUAGUUGGUGGGGUAAAGGCCUACCAAGGCGACGAUCUGUAGCGGGUCUGAGAGGAUGAUCCGCCACACUGGGACUGAGACACGGCCCAGACUCCUACGGGAGGCAGCAGUGGGGAAUAUUGGACAAUGGGCGCAAGCCUGAUCCAGCAAUGCCGCGUGUGUGAAGAAGGUCUUCGGAUUGUAAAGCACUUUCGACGGGGACGAUGAUGACGGUACCCGUAGAAGAAGCCCCGGCUAACUUCGUGCCAGCAGCCGCGGUAAUA